GGGGGCCCGCACAAGCGGUGGAGCAUGUGGUUUAAUUCGACGCAACGCGAAGAACCUUACCUGGCCUUGACAUCCAGAGAACUUUCCAGAGAUGGAUUGGUGCCUUCGGGAACUCUGAGACAGGUGCUGCAUGGCCGUCGUCAGCUCGUGUCGUGAGAUGUUGGGUUAAGUCCCGUAACGAGCGCAACCCCUAUCCCUGGUUGCUAGCAGGUAAUGCUGAGAACUCCAGGGAGACUGCCGGUGACAAACCGGAGGAAGGUGGGGAUGACGUCAGGUCAUCAUGGCCCUUACGGCCAGGGCUACACACGUGCUACAAUGGCGCGUACAGAGGGCUGCCAACUCGCGAGAGUGAGCCAAUCCCUUAAAACGCGUCGUAGUCCGGAUCGGAGUCUGCAACUCGACUCCGUGAAGUCGGAAUCGCUAGUAAUCGCGAAUCAGAAUGUCGCGGUGAAUACGUUCCCGGGCCUUGUACACACCGCCCGUCACACCAUGGGAGUGGAUUGCACC
rnacentral:rRNA from 2 species